AAAAGGUAUAAAUAAAGAAGAAGCUGCUAACUAUCUUCCUAGGCGGAUAAGUACCGUCUACCUUUUA
rnacentral:tRNA from 1 species